AGAAGAGGCGUGUCUGUGGAUCCAAUAAUAUUAAAUGCCACCUGUCGAACCGAUUUGUCUCGCAUAUCGUUAAAGGCGAUACUCGGAUCAGGUUUAAAACAAUUUUGAUUAAAGACAAUUAUUCAUAGCGAGCAAAGCGGAAGAAAGAGGAAAAUGAAGGUUAUAUUCACUCUUCUUCUUGUGGGAAUCUUUAUUCAAGCGAUGAUCGAUGUGGGA